rnacentral:misc_RNA from 1 species
AAGUCGUAACAAGGUUUCCGUAGGUGAACCUGCGGAAGGAUCAUUACUGAAGUUUUGGCCGCAAGGCCACUCUUCCACCCUUUGUUUAUAACACCUUUGUUGCUUUGGCGGGCCGCCCUAGGCCACCGGCGUCAGCUGGUGCGCGCCCGCCAGAGGCCCAAACAACCUGUUUUAUAGUGUUUGUCUGAGUAAAAACUUAAUUGUUAAAACCUUCAACAAUGGAUCUCUUGGCUCUG